GGUCGGGGGAUGGAGUGGCCGAUGUAUGCCUGAACCAUGGGAAGCUUCCAGACAAGACUGGCUGUGACUUCCGGACAGCUAUGAUCAUCAGUGAGAGGCGAGAGUCUGGGCAAGAGUGGACAGCUCUGAGUUUUCUCUGCACAUCUCCAAGAAGCACCCAGCAUCCACAGUGUGAGGAGCAUAGAACUUCCUACUAUGGGGCAAAAUUUCUGAAGUUUUGUACCCCUGCUGCCUACACUGACACAGCCUGUACACUUCCUGCUCCCUGGACCUGACCUGGACAGUC